UGCAUUUAAGUCUAAUGAGUGGUUCAAAAAGCUUCGAUAAGUCGCUGGUUCUUUCUCCAUAUUUUCCAUGGUAAUACUCUGUUGACCGUCCAAAGCAUCGUUUGCAAAGUCUUCCAGAUUUAUUUUCAUUCUCCGAUUUCUCUGCAAGAUCGAAUACCAUCGGAUCUCGACAAAAUGAGUGAGGAGUCUUAUUUCUAUGUGCUUGUUUAUAUGUGGGUUCAUAUAUCUUUUUUCACGAAUUAAAACAAUUUGUUGAUUCAGGUUUCCUAUGAAAAACACUCCUUACGACUCCAAAAGUAGGGAUCAUCCGUGUCUUGAAGGGAUCAGAUUUAUAAAACGAUGUGGGUAAUUAAAAUUAAAUCACGCAGCAAAUUUUCAUAUUCUUUUUUAUCUUUGUAGUUUUCUAGCAACUUGCCGGCUCACCGUCCCAGCCUUUAAAUUAGUUUUUUUUUCUAGCAUUAUGCCUUGAUGAGUGUGUUCUUAUUUGACACCACGACGCAUUAUCAUUUAUGAUCUGUUCUGUUUUUUUUAGUCAAGGUGAGUAAGAGAACUGAAACCCAAUUAAAAUAUAAAAAAAGGUCACGAAAAGCAAAAAUAAGGUACAAAUCCGUGUGGCACAGCACACAUUACGAACUUGCCUUCACAGACAGUAUUAUUUAGGGUUCUUUUAACUCUUUCAAUUUUUUUAGACCUCCAAUAUUCCCCUCAUCAAAAAAUGAACACACUCAUUAUAUGUGUACAUUAUACACACUUUUCAAUGAGUCAGAUAAUUUUACUUCUGUAUAAGGAUUUUAUUGGGAUAUUUGAUAAUGUUUUUACUUUUUUUAUUUAUGUGUUUGCACCGUGUCCCCACGCCCGCAUUCACGCUUGUUCUGUCUAAGUUUUUUGUAAAAACAAAACUAAACCCAAAUACCCCCCUGUUUGUAUUCAUAUUUUUUAAACUAGUUAAAAACAAAAAAUAUGUUUGUGUUUAUUUUUUUAAUACUAUUUACAAAAAAUGGUGGCGACAGUGGUGGAGACGGAGAUCAUGGAAGCGGUGGUGGAGACGGAGAUCGUGGAGGAAGCAGUGGGGCGGCGGCGGCGGCGGUAGUGGUGGUGGUGGCGGUGGAGGUGGUGAUGGUGGCAGUGGUGGAGUCGGUGGCGGUGGCGGCGAUGUCGGUGGCGGUGGAGGUGGUGAAUGCUUGGAUGAGAGGGAUGUAGAUGGAAAAAUUUUGUAAAUAAAACAAAAACACAUUUUUAUUUUUUUUACUAUUUUAAAAAAUAGUGAUACUAAUUUUGUUUAUUUACAAUUCUAAAUAGCAACACAAACAAGUUUUUAUUUUUGUAAAUAGAAAAAACAAACAAACAAAAAUGAUAGUUAAACAAUUUCACCUUGGUAUCUAGAAUGGAUGCUAUGACAAAUAAGAGAUGGGGAAUUAAAAAUAUGUAUAAAGUAAAAUUUCUUUUUUUUUAAUUUUGUAGUUUUUCUGACUCUUUUUAUUUGCUUUCUACCAAUUUAAUUAUUUAUUGCGUAUUGACCCCUUUAUUACACCCUUUACUACAAGAGUAUUAAAACCCUCGAUCAUGGCAAAAUCAACUGUUGUUGUUGAACCCCGAGAAGGCGUGAAUGUAUAUACUCUAAAUCUUGCGGGCCAAGGAGUUAUAAAACAUUCUUGGUGAAAAAAAGUGAACGAAAGGUCCUACUAAAUCUAACUAAAAUUGGAUUCAUGAAUCUAACCCAAAAAGUGAAAAAUUCUUGGUUAUUAUUUCUCAAUUCUAAAUUAGAAUGUGAAUCGGGGCCCUGAUAUUCCUCUAAAUUUUUAAAAAAAAUAAAAAAAUGAAAUUGAAUUGAUUUAGCUACAAAUUCAUUUCAAUGGAAUUUGGGAUUCACCAUGUAAGGAUAAUUAUUGUAUUGUAUUUUAAUGUUUUUUCAUAGUCGUGGCAAAUUGUUCAUUUUUUAGUUCAAGUUGAUAAAAGCAUCGUCUUUACCUGUGUCACUCACUACUUUGAUUGCUCUGCAAGUAACAUUAGAUCGGGAGAAAUCGGGUAAGCAAUUUUAUUUCUAUGUGUUCUGUUAUAUUUUGUGUAUCUUUUUAACUCAAUCGCCAAAAUAAUGUGCUGAUGUGUUGAUGCGAAAUGUAAAUGCAUUACUUAUAAAUAAUUAAAUUUAAAUAUUAGGUUUGUUUAAUUUUUUAAGACGUUUGAUUGAUUGGACUCAAAAAUAAGAUUACACACCCUAGAUUAUGGUGGUUAUAAGAUUUUCUAAAUAUGGUGAAUUGAAUAGGAAGUCAAAAGGCUAAUCCCACUUGCUAGGAAUUUUGAAUUCUAUUAAUUAUUAGAAAAAAACUUGAGCUUUCUUAUAAGAGUUAAUUUUGCUAUGCUUAUGGGUAAUAAAGGCUUUCAUACCUUGUUUGCAAUUGGAAGCUAUUCAUUCAAGAUGAGAUCCAGAAGAUUUAAAUUCAGAUCACAAGUGAUAUAUUUUAUGCAUCUUUUUGUGUUUAUUUAUCCAUUUCUAAUUUAU
rnacentral:lncRNA from 1 species